rnacentral:rRNA from 1 species
AGUGAACGCUGGCGGUAGGCCUAACACAUGCCAGUCGAACGGCAGCACAGUAAGAGCUUGCUCUUACGGGUGGCGAGUGGCGGACGGGUGAGGAAUACAUCGGAAUCUACUUUUUCGUGGGGGAUAACGUAGGGAAACUUACGCUAAUACCGCAUACGACCUACGGGUGAAAGCAGGGGAUCUUCGGACCUUGCGCGAUUGAAUGAGCCGAUGUCGGAUUAGCUAGUUGGCGGGGUAAAGGCCCACCAAGGCGACGAUCCGUAGCUGGCCUGAGAGGAUGGGUGGCCAAAAUGGAACAGAGCGAAGGGCCAGACACCUACGGGAGGCAGCAGUAGGGAAUGGUGGACAAUGGGCGUAAGUUUGACGGAGCAAAGGGGAGGGAGAGAAGAGGGUCUUCGGACUGUAAAACUGUGUUAUCAGGGAAGAAAAAAUGGGUACGUAAUUACGCACGUCGGGACGGUACCUAAUAAGAAAGCGAAGGCUAACGAAGUG